AUUGAACGCUGGCGGCAGGCCUAACACAUGCAAGUCGAGCGAGCGGCGGACGGGUGAGUAAUGUAUGGGGACUGCCCGAUAGAGGGGGAUAACUACUGGAAACGGUGGCUAAUACCGCAUACUAUCGGAUAACCCAUAUGGGAUUAGCUAGUAGGUGGGGUAAAGGCUCACCUAGGCGACGAUCUCUAGCUGGUCUGAGAGGAUGAUCAGCCACACAGGGACGGAGAUACGGCCCAGAGUCCUACGGAGGGAGCAGUGGGGGAUAUGGGACAAUGGGCGAAAGCCAGAUGCAGCGAAGCCGAGUGGGGGAUGAGGGCUUUCGGGUGGUAAACCUCGUUCGCUAGCGAACGGGUAGGUGGAGAAGAAGCGCCGGCUAACUACGUGCCAGCAGCCGCGGUAAUAC
rnacentral:rRNA from 1 species